rnacentral:rRNA from 1 species
CCUACGGGAGGCUGCAGUGGGGAAUAUGGGACAAUGGGGGCAACCCUGAUCCAGCCAUGCCGCGUGUGUGAAGAAGGCCCUCGGGUUGUAAAGCACUUUCAGUGAGGAAGAACGCCUUGUGGUUAAUACCCAUCAGGAAAGACAUCACUCACAGAAGAAGCACCGGCUAACUCCGUGCCAGCAGCCGCGGUAAUACGGAGGGUGCGAGCGUUAAUCGGAAUUACUGGGCGUAAAGCGCGCGUAGGUGGCUUGAUAAGCCGGUUGUGAAAGCCCCGGGCUCAACCUGGGAACGGCAUCCGGAACUGUCAAGCUAGAGUGCAGGAGAGGAAGGUAGAAUUCCCGGUGUAGCGGUGAAAUGCGUAGAGAUCGGGCGGAAUACCAGUGGCGAAGGCGGCCUUCUGGACUGACACUGACACUGAGGUGCGAAAGCGUGGGUAGCAAACAGGAUUAGCUACCCCUGUAGUC